rnacentral:misc_RNA from 1 species
UCUCCGUUGGUGAACCAGCGGAGGGAUCAUUACAGAAUCGCAAGAUCUCUGAAACCAUUGUGAACAUACCGAAACGUUGCCUCGGCGGGUGCCGGGCCCCCUGGGCCCUGCGCUGAGCCCGCCGGCGGCCCCCCAACUCUGUAUUACUGUUGUCUCUCUGAGCACUAUAAAACAAGUUAAAACUUUCAACAACGGAUCUCUUGGCUCCAGCAUCGAUGAAGAACGCAGC